rnacentral:rRNA from 1 species
GACGAACGCUGGCGGCGUGCUUAACACAUGCAAGUCGAACGGAAAGGCCCCUUCGGGGGUACUCGAGUGGCGAACGGGUGAGUAACACGUGAGUAACCUGCCCUUGACUUCGGGAUAACUUCAGGAAACUGGGGCUAAUACCGGAUAGGAAUCCUUGCUGCAUGGUGGGGGUUGGAAAGCUUCGGCGGUUUUGGAUGGACUCGCGGCUUAUCAGCUUGUUUGUGGGGUAGUGGCUUACCAAGGCUUUGACGGGUAGCCGGCCUGAGAGGGCGACCGGCCACAUUGGGACUGAGAUACGGCCCAGACUCCUACGGGAGGCAGCAGUGGGGAAUAUUGCACAAUGGGCGGAAGCCUGAUGCAGCAACGCCGCGUGCGGGAUGACGGCCUUCGGGUUGUAAACCGCUUUCAGCAGGGGCGAAGCUUGUGGUGACGGUACCUGCAGAAGAAGCACCGGCUAACUACGUG